rnacentral:lncRNA from 1 species
GGCGGAGGGGGCGAGCGGGGCCGGGAGCGGCGGGCGGGCGGGUGGGCGAGGGCGCGGCGGUGGCGACUCCGGCGGCAGCCUCGGCGGUCUGGGCGGGGCGGGAAGCCCGCUUUCAACCCCGCGUACCCUCUGACCCCGGAAGUGCUUGCUGCGCAGGACCCCUUGAAAAAAAAUGAGGACCCGUCUUUUUUAGGUCACAAGAUUGCGCCAACCCUCACAUGGUCCUCAAAAAAAAAACCCUUCUGACACUGCAGUAGUGAAAAUCAAGCGCACUAUGGGCGGAAACUAGGAAGACACUUAAACAUAAAGAUGAAGUGCCUAAUUCAAGGUCACACAAUGUCGGGGAUGGACCUCCAGAUUUCCUUACUGACCUGCAUUAUCUGUGGAUACCUGAGUGAAUUACACAGCACCCAUUUUAUAGAUGAAGCCACUGAGACAUGGAGCAACUGACUGAGUAGUCACUGCCCCACCCCUGGAGCCUCACACAUGACUCGUCUCCUCUCAGUGACCACAGGUUGGUUGAGG